rnacentral:rRNA from 1 species
CCUACGGGAGGCAGUAGUAGGGAAUCUUCCACAAUGGGCGAAAGCCUGAUGGAGCAACGCCGCGUGGGUGAAGAAGGUCUUCGGAUCGUAAAACCCUGUUGUUAGAGAAGAAAGUGCGUGAGAGUAACUGUUCACGUUUCGACGGUAUCUAACCAGAAAGCCACGGCUAACUACGUGCCAGCAGCCGCGGUAAUACGUAGGUGGCAAGCGUUAUCCGGAUUUAUUGGGCGUAAAGGGAACGCAGGCGGUCUUUUAAGUCUGAUGUGAAAGCCUUCGGCUUAACCGGAGUAGUGCAUUGGAAACUGGGAGACGUGAGUGCAGAAGAGGAGAGUGGAACUACAUGUGUAGCGGUGAAAUGCGUAGAGAUAUGGAAGAACACCAGUGGCGAAAGCGGCUCUCUGGUCUGUAACUGACGCUGAGGUUCGAAAGCGUGGGUAGCAAACAGGAUUAGAUACCCCAGUAGUC